CACACAACUGUAUGUCCGCGGAGUGGAUGACAGUUUUGACGUGAUGGAGGAGUUGCUCACAGUGAUUCCAAUGCAUGGCCAGACCACUGCUCAGGAGAUAUUCAGCCAGCUGUGUGAUGCCAUUGUGGAUGCCGGUUUAACAUGGAAGAGGUUUGCUGGAAUAACAACCGACGGAGCACCAUCAAUGACAGGGAGGAAAAAUGGACUGGUGGCACUUGUUCAAAGAAAACUGGAAGAGGAGGGUGUGGAGGAGGCCAUUGCUCUGCACUGCAUUAUCCAUCAGCAGGCCCUUUGCAGCAAAUGCCUGAAGUUUGACAAUGUGAUGUCUGUUGUUGUGAAAUGCAUCAACCAUAUUAGAUUCAGGGGCUUAAAGCACCGGCAGUUCCGCGCCUUUUUGGAGGAAAUAGAGUCAGCAUAUGAGGAUGUCCUCUACUUCACCGAGGUACGUUGGCUCAGCAGGGGAAACGCCUUGAAGAGGUUCUUUGAGUUGAGAGCAGAAGUGAAAGCCUUCAUGGAGAAGGAUGGGAUGGCUGUUCCUGUGCUAAGUGAUCCCAAAUGGCUCAUGGACUUAGCUUUUCUUGUUGAUAUCACACAGGAGCUGAAUGUACUGAACAAGAAGUUACAAGGCCAAGGGCAGCUUGUCAGUGCUGCCUAUGACAACGUCAGAGCAUUCUCCACACAACUUGUGUUAUGGAAAGCCCAGCUCUCUCAGACAAACUUCUGCCAUUUCCCAACAUGCAAGGCACUCAUGGGUGCAGGCACACCAUUCAGUGGUGAGAAGUAUGCUGAUGCCAUUGUAAACCUACAGGAGGAAUUUGAUCAGAGGUUUGCAGACUUCAAGACACACAGAGCCACUUUUCAAAUUGUUGCUGACCCCUUCUCCUUUGAUGUGCAAGAUGCCCCUCCUGUGCUUCAAAUGGAGCUCAUUGACCUGCAGUGCAAUUCUGAACUCAAAGCCAAGUUCAGGGAGGUGAGUGGAAUAGCAGACAAGCUUGGACAAUUUUUGAGAGAAUUGCCCCCCCACCUUCCCAGGAUGUUCAAGCGGACCAUGUGCCUUUUUGGGAGCACAUAUCUGUGUGAAAAGCUCUUCUCAACCAUGAACUUUAAUAAGUCAAAGUACAGGUCCAAACUUACUGAUGAGCAUCUUCAAGCCAUACUGAGGGUCUCAACUGCUUCCUUCCUCAAGCCAAAUGUGGCUGAGCUGUGUGAGAGGAAGCGCUGCCAGGUCUCUGGUAGCAAGGAGUAAGCAAGAGAAGCCUAUGUUCUGAAGAACCGUUCAUGUUCUGAACUGUUAUUAAUGAAGAUUGGAUCAGUUGUACUUUUUUUUGGAAUACUUGAUACCCAGACUCUACCCCCAGCGGCCCCCAGGUAAGUUGAGUUUGAGACCCUAGCUUUGUUACUUGGAUGGAUGUUAAAUUGAAUGUUUCUGGCAUGAUUAUGGGAAAGCUCCACUUAGUGAGAUUUGAGACGGAUGGAUAUAAUAUUGAUAUACUUAAUGCUUUGGGGGAUUUUGACUUGAAUUUUUCUUGCUAAUCAUUGCUCCAUAAUACAAUAGCUAUACCUCAAGUGGACAUCAAGACAAUAGCAUAUAUUCGCCCCAUGAGAAAGUGGCUUAAUCUGGUGCUAAAUAGUAAAAACUACAAUUCUGAAGCCAGGGCUCUAGAUAGAUAUAUUAGAAUGCAUAAUUCUAUGCUGUAAUGGCCGUGAGAUCAAAAGAUGUGGUUUUAAUUGGUUUUAUUGGCCUAAAUUGUUGCUCUCAAGGGUCUGAAUGUCCGUGUUUUGGCUACGCAGUUUAUUAUAGACUUAUAGGAGCUGAGGUUGAACUUCCAAAUUCAAUUAAAAAAAACGGCAGAGAGCUUAAGUAAAAGAGCAGGUGAAGCAAGUCACAGAUCUUUUUCUCAGGAGUUGGUUAUCACCAACCCAAAGCUACAAGGAAAGUCAAUAUGGGACUUGAAUUCAAUGUGUCAAAAUAUCCCAAUAGAAUGCUCAGGCUGUGUUCUGCUGGAUGUGAAAGGAGGUCAUUCAAUAGUUCACUAAUUGAUAAUUUUUUAAUGGAAAUUCUUGGACAUUUUUUGUUAACAGCUGGUCCUUGAUAUCAGACAGAUGUAGACAAAGGCAGGCUGAAAUGACAGCAGUUGGAUCUGAUGAGCUGUAGCUAUAGCAUGCUAACGAAUAUCAACUCUUUAUAUCGUUUCCUGCUGGCUCGUUUGAAAACCAGAAACCUAUUGUAUAAACGUUUGUAAGUAUGCAUUUUAUAGCUACAUACAUCACAUUCUCCUAAUUGAGUGCUACGUGAUAACACUAAAAAAACAUCUCGUGCUAAAUUAUACAGGCCCCAAGCCUAAUAUAAAUACUUUUUUAAAUAUUAUUAUUUGUAUUAUUAAACUGAUGACAGGGGCUACCAUGCAGGAUUCAUCAGGAGUCUAACUACACAGUUAUCUAUACACUUAACCCCAAGUUGCUCCCGCAGGCACAGCCUACCCAAGGACACAUCAACAUGGACUAACGAAGCCGGGGAUGGAGCCGCCUACCCUCUGAUUAAAGGACUACCCUGCUCUACCACUGAGUCACGGUCGCCCAUAGUCAGUGUGGACGAGUCUUUCUUCCCUCUUGAUGUCAAAUAGUCCUUAAUGCUGGUUGAAACUAUCACACACGCACACGCCUGGCUAUUUGAAGUUCAUAACAUUAUGAAACAAAUUCACAUUUCUGAGAUGAGAGCAGCUACCCAAAACUACGGACAUUUUAAAACCAGAGAGAGAAGUGAACAGGUCAGGGUUAGUAGACAUCUUUAUUAAAUCUCCACAAACACUGUCAGGACCACAACAUCGAGCAGGAUAUUCACUGAGACUGGUGAUAUAAAUGAGAGCUGGGCUGUUCAACAUGUGUCUAGAAAGAGUCGCAAAAGUAAAGAUUACGUCCACCAGCUCCCCCUACCCCAGCUCAGCAGGGGCCUCGCCUCACAACCAUCAAUCCCAGAGCCACCGAGGAGGAAGCAGCGUUUGAAGCUGGGGAAACACGUCUCAGUCUCUUGGACCAUCAGCACCGAUUCCCCUCAAUGCUGCGUUCUUUCCCCUCUACUCUUCUCUUUGUACACCAACAGCUGCACCCCUACUCACCGGUCCGUUACACUCCUGAAGUUUGUGGAUGACACCGCCCUAAUUGGACUCAUCUCUGGUGGGGAUGAGUCCGUCUAUAGGUAGGAGAUCGACCAUCUAUUGACCUGCUGCAGACAAAACAACUUAAAAACGCCGUAAAGACAGUGGAGAUGGUUGAGUUCGCUGUGGAGUCCUUCAGCUUCUGGGGCUCCAUCAUAACCCAGGACCUCAAGUAGGAGCUGAAGAAGUCCAGCCUGCCAAAGACAAUGAUGGUGCACUCCUACACUGCCAUCACUGAGUCCUUCCUCACCGAGUCCACCACACUGCAGCCACUGCCAAGGACAAGGGCAGACUGCAGUGUAUCAUUCACUCUGCUGAGAGGGUGAUUGGCUGCAAUCUGCCAUCCCUCCGUGACUUGUUGGACCGUGAGGCGGGCAAGAACAAUUGUGGCUCACCCAAUUAUUUUGAAUUAUGUCUCUAUACUAUUCCACUGUGUUUAUUGUAAUGCACCAAUCACCAAGUCAAAUUUAUUUAUUAAGUGCAAACAUACUUGGCAAUAAACCGUUUCUUAUUCUCUGCAGUUGCACCUAAUUUAUUGGAUAAAGAAGCCAACAAGCAAUUUACUCUUCUCUCGGUGGGAAAUAAUUGUUUCAGCUCAACUAAAAAGUCCGUUAUUUUCAUAACUAGAGUGCAACUUGAAUAUUCACUUAAUUUCACAUUCAUAUAGAGAAUCUGUUGAUGGCAAAAACCCGUAACUCAACUUCUGACUGUCAAUCUUAUGUCUAACCUAUUUCUAACAUUGCUAAAUUCUUUAUUCUUUGUGUUUGGUGUCUUAUAUGCUUGACCAUGUAGUUUUUCUUCUUUCUGUUCCAGGCUGGAAUGAUGCUUGAUAAUGGAGUAAAGACCACCCAGGCAAACGACAAGGACAAGAGACCCUUCCUGUCUCUGAUUGGAGCCAGGUAUGGCCCCCACCAGGACGCUGAUCCCUUCAAACCCAGAGUCCCUGCUCUAAUCCACCAUUUUGUAGCCUAUAAGAACCAGGACCACGGAGCCUGGCUGAGAGGAGGGGAUGUCUGGCUGGAUGACUGCCAAUUUGCUGAUAAUGGCAUUGGCCUCACUCUGGCGAGUGGAGGGACCUUUCCAGAUGAUGACGGCUCUCGUCAGCAGGUGAAAAACUCGCUGUUUGUGGGUGAAAGUGACAAUCGUGGGAUGCCCCUCCUUGACAACAAGAUCUGGGGCCCCGGGGGUUCUGACCUCACUGACAGAACCCUGCCACGUGGCAUGUAAGGGACAAUUACAGCUUAUUUGAACUUCUUUUGGUUUCACAGACGCAUUAAGGUGAUAAAUGGUCAGAUGUUGUAUUUUGACUUUGCUGUCCGAGGACCCAAAAGGUUUACAUUUAACCAUUGAUUUUUAACAUGUCACAUGAACACUAGUAUUCUGGUUAUGAUCAGGAUUUGGAAUGUCCUGAUAAUGUGUUUGUCGAUUUAGACAUCACAUCCUGGUUUAAGAGACCUGGCCCUUGUCCUGGUCUAUGGACCUAGAGAAGCCUUUUACAAUAGUCCCACAGAAACCUGGAUACCAUCGCGUCUAAACACCUCAUCCAUAAUCAUGAUCAUCUUCUUAUCACUCCCAUUCUAAUGCUUGAGAUGGGCCAAACUGAGCCUACUAGUAGGUGUAGAUAGGUAGUUGUAGGUUGAUAACCGCUGGCAGCGCCCAUUCAAUUGGCUGAUAAGAUUAGAAGCGGGUGAUAGAUAAGCCUGAUCCGGUGGUGGUACAACGUGUUAAAUACACCAGAGACCAGAAGGGUUCACCAGAAACUGUUGAAGUAACUCAGUUUACUUAGAAGAGUAAAGACAUACCUGCAGAUGAUCAGAAACCUUGCACAGAUUCCCUGCCUUCCAGCUCCAGCUCUUCUCCUCGCACUCAGGCUGCUUCUGUGUGCUCGUGAAACGUCCACUCUCAGAUUUCUCGUAUGCUCUUGGAUUUCUUUUGUGUAACAACCCUGUCAGAAUUCCCCAAUCAAUAGAAUGCCAGGUGUAGUGUUGACCAAUGAAAGAUCCUUGCCUCAUUGUGGGUUUUGAGGGAGAACAUUGCAAAAUCUGAAGCGAAAGAACAUUCUCUUGAUAAAGAUAGGAGAAAAGCUGAAUAGAUCAUUACAGAAUCAUGUACACAGUGAGCUGAAUAGUAAUUCUAGAUGUUCACUGUAAACUUCACAUCCCAAAUAUGAUCAGAACUGGAAUAAGAUUCAUAAUACCAAGAUACCAGGGCACAUGCUGAUAAAACACCGUGUUGCUGUAUUAGUGUUUAAACCUACAGUAGACAGCAAGAGGCCUUUUGUCAUGCAAAUCAUGUGAACGUGUCUCUGCCAUGAAAACGUGUUGCCACCGCCAAUCUUUUAUAACUGACAUGAAUUAAAACUGACCACAGCUGCUGCUCUUCAUGACGGAGCAAAAUGAAAACAUUUGACAGACAUUUUUCCAGUGUUAAUACCCCAAAUAUUGGUUGUACUGUGUGUAUGUAUAUAU